rnacentral:lncRNA from 1 species
CCGCGUACUACGGCAAGGCCGAAGAGAAAGGUUACGGGGGGUACGUCGAGAAAGCCGAGGCGUACCUAGAACAGUACAGCUCUGGCGCCGCCCCGGCUGCCGCCGCAGACCCGCCGGCGACUGAUGCCGCCGGCGGUGGGGGAUACGUGAAGAUGGCGGAGGGCCUCCUGGGCGGCGGUGGCGACGCCGGAAAGUCCGAGGGGGGCGGGCUCGGCGGAGAUGUCAUGAAGAUGGCCGGAGGGUUCUUCAAGUAGGAUGAUCAGGCCGCCGUCUUCCUCCCCAGCUCUCUGCUCCAUGAGUGGGGCUGUAGUCUAUCAUCGUCUUCUGCAUAAAGUCAAACUCCCUGUCGAAAUUUGAGCUCAUCAAUAGAUAAAUGAAUUAUAAUGGGCAACUGAAUGCUUCCUUGGAUGAUAUCUUCCCCUCCCCUCCAAGAUCAUACCUCAGAUCGGAUGCGACCAAGGAUAUAAGGGUCCGAUUAUAUUUAUGAUGGAACAAGUGGAAAUUCUUUUUAAUCAAACCGAACGUCAGAUUGAACGUUAUUUUCCGCAUCUUGUAAUUGAUUUAUUACCUUUUUAGUCAUUUUCUCGUCCUUUUUGAGUUUUUCUGCAUGCUUGCACUUAAUUAACUCACGCGUGAGAACAACUAGAAGAGAGGGAUAGGUAAUGAGCCCUAAAGCCAAC